GGCCGGGAUAGCUCAGUUGGUAGAGCA
rnacentral:tRNA from 1 species